AACGAACGCUGGCGGUGUGCUUAACACAUGCAAGUCGAACGAGAAAGUUUCCUUCGGGAAGCGAGUAAAGUGGCGCAAGGGUGAGUAACACGUUGAAUAAUCUACCCCCCGAGACUGGGGAUAACCUGGUGAAAAACUAGGCUAAUACCGGAUAAGACCACGUCCCGCAAGGGAUGCGGGAAAAGGAGGCUCAACCUCCACUUGGGGAUGAGUUCGCGGACCAUUAGCUUGUUGGUGAGAUAACAGCUCACCAAGGCUACGAUGGUUAACCGGCCUGAGAGGGUGAACGGUCACACUGGAACUGAGACACGGCCCAGACUCCUACGGGAGGCAGCAGUCGGGAAUUUUGGGGCAAUGGGCGAAAGCCUGACCCAGCAAACGCCGCGUGAGGGAUG
rnacentral:rRNA from 1 species